AGCGCAGACGGUUGAUUAAGUCUGAUGUGAAAGCCCGGAGCUCAACUCCGGAAUGGCAUUGGAAACUGGUUAACUUGAGUGCAGUAGAGGUAAGUGGAACUCCACGUGUAGCGGUGGAAUGCGUAGAUAUAUGGAAGAACACCAGUGGCGAAGGCGGCUUACUGGACUGUAACUGACGUUGAGGCUCGAAAGUGUGGUAGCAAACA
rnacentral:rRNA from 1 species